rnacentral:rRNA from 1 species
GAUGAACGCUGGCGGCGUGCCUAAUACAUGCAAGUCGAGCGAACAGAUAAGGAGCUUGCUCCUUUGACGUUAGCGGCGGACGGGUGAGUAACACGUGGGUAACCUACCUAUAAGACUGGGAUAACUUCGGGAAACCGGAGCUAAUACCGGAUAAUAUUUCGAACCGCAUGGUUCGAUAGUGAAAGAUGGUUUUGCUAUCACUUAUAGAUGGACCCGCGCCGUAUUAGCUAGUUGGUAAGGUAACGGCUUACCAAGGCGACGAUACGUAGCCGACCUGAGAGGGUGUUCGGCCACACUGGAACUGAGACACGGUCCAGACUCCUACGGGAGGCAGCAGUAGGGAAUCUUCCGCAAUGGGCGAAAGCCUGACGGAGCAACGCCGCGUGAGUGAUGAAGGUCUUCGGAUCGUAAAACUCUGUUAUUAGGGAAGAACAUACGUGUAAGUAACUGUGCACGUCUUGACGGUACCUAAUCAGAAAGCCACGGCUAACUACGUG